AGUGGACGCUGGCGGUAGGCCUAACACAUGCAAGUCGAACGGCAGCACAGUAAGAGCUUGCUCUUACGGGUGGCGAGUGGCGGACGGGUGAGGAAUACAUCGGAAUCUACUUUUUCGUGGGGGAUAACGUAGGGAAACUUACGCUAAUACCGCAUACGACCUACGGGUGAAAGCAGGGGAUCUUCGGACCUUGCGCGAUUGAAUGAGCCGAUGUCGGAUUAGCUAGUUGGCGGGGUAAAGGCCCACCAAGGCGACGAUCUGUAGCUGGUCUGAGAGGAUGAUCAGCCACACUGGAACUGAGACACGGUCCAGACUCCUACGGGAGGCAGCAGUGGGGAAUAUUGGACAAUGGGCGCAAGCCUGAUCCAGCCAUACCGCGUGGGUGAAGAAGGCCUUCGGGUUGUAAAGCCCUUUUGUUGGGAAAGAAAAGCAGCAGGUUAAUACCCCGCUGUUCUGACGGUACCCAAAGAAUAAGCACCGGCUAACUUCGUG
rnacentral:rRNA from 1 species